rnacentral:rRNA from 1 species
UACGUAGGUGGCAAGCGUUAUCCGGAUUUACUGGGUGUAAAGGGCGUGUAGGCGGGGAAGCAAGUCAGAUGUGAAAACCACGGGCUCAACCUGCGGCCUGCAUUUGAAACUGUUUUUCUUGAGUGCUGGAGAGGCAAUCGGAAUUCCGUGUGUAGCGGUGAAAUGCGUAGCUAUACGGAGGAACACCAGUGGCGAAGGCGGAUUGCUGGACAGUAACUGACGCUGAGGCGCGAAAGCGUGGGGAGCAAACAGG